UACGUAGGUGGCAAGCGUUGUCCGGAUUUACGGGGCGUAAAGAGCGUGUAGGCGGUCCGGUAAGUCAGCUGUGAAAGUCAAGGGCUCAACCCUUGAAUGCCGGUUGAUACUGUCGGGCUAGAGUCCGGAAGAGGCGAGUGGAAUUCCCGGUGUAGCGGUGAAAUGCGCAGAUAUCGGGAGGAACACCAAUGGCGAAGGCAGCUCGCUGGGACGGUACUGACGCUGAGACGCGAAAGCGUGGGGAGCAAACAGG
rnacentral:rRNA from 1 species